rnacentral:rRNA from 1 species
UACGGGGGGGGCAAGCGUUGUUCGGAAUUACGGGGCGUAAAGGGCUCGUAGGCGGCCAACUAAGUCAGACGUGAAAUCCCUCGGCUUAACCGGGGAACUGCGUCUGAUACUGGAUGGCUUGAGAUUGGGAGAGGGAUGCGGAAUUCCAGGUGUAGCGGUGAAAUGCGUAGAUAUCUGGAGGAACACCGGUGGCGAAGGCGACAUCCUGGACCAACACUGACGCUGAGGAGCGAAAGCCAGGGGAGCAAACGGG